rnacentral:tRNA from 1 species
GGAGAGAUUGCUAUUGGCAGGACAAGCUGUUUGCGCUCACAGUCGUGAGAUUUAUCAUCUCACUGUGGGUUCAACUCCCUCUCUCUCCG